rnacentral:rRNA from 1 species
UCCAGUUUAUCCUGCUGGCGGCUGCGGCUAUCUGGCUUGUACUUAGACAUGCAAGUUUUUAUCUUUAGCAAUAGAGAUAAAGCAAACUGCUCAGUAACACGUAGCUAACCUAACUUAAGGUCAGGGAUAACCUCGGGAAACUGAGGCUAAUACCUGAUAGAGAAUAGAUGCUGGAAUGCACUAUUCUUGAAAUUCGAGCCUUAAGAUGGGGCUGCGGCUGAUUAGGUUGUUGGCGGGGUAAUAGCCCACCAAGCCGAUGAUCAGUAAGGGCUCUUAGCGGAGAUGCCCUGAGAAGGAAUCUGAGACACUAUUCCUAGCCCUACGGGGUGCAGCAGUUAAGGAUCUUUUGCAAUGCGCGCAAGCGUGACAAAGCGAGCCAGAGUGAUUUCUCAUAAUGAGAAAUCUUUUGCUAAAUGUAGAAAGUUUGGCGAAUAAGGACUGGGAAAGACCGGUGCCAGCCGCCGCGGUAAUACCGGCAGUUCAAGUCGCAGCCACAUUUAUUGGGUCUAAAACAUCUGUAGCUUGCUAUGUAAGUCUUCUGUGAAAUCCUAUAUCUUAAGUAUAGGGCGAGCAGGAGAUACUGCAUAGCUAGAGACCGGAAGGCGUAAGGAGAACGUAUAGGGUAUCGGUAAAAUGAGUUGAUCCUAUACGGACUAACGAUAGCGAAGGCACCUUACGAGUACGGAUCUGACAGUGAGAGAUGAAGGCUAGGGUCGCGAAAGGGAUUAGAUACCCCUGUAGUCCUAGCAGUAAACACUGCACACUAAACAUUGGUAUCUCUUCGUGAGGCAUCAGUGCUGAAGGGAAGCCGUAGAGUGUGCUACCUGGGAAGUAUAGUCGCAAGGCCGAAACUUAAAGGAAUUGGCGGGGGGGCACUACAACGGGUGACGCGUGCGGUUCAAUUAGAUUUUACACCGUGAACCUCACCAGGACCGACAGCAGAAUGAAGGUCAGUCUGAAGGGCUUACCUGACACGCUGAGAGGAGUUGCAUGGCCGACGUCAGCCUGUGUCGUGAGAUGACCUGUUAAAUCAGGUAACAGGCUAGACCCAUGUGUAUAGUUACUUCGUAUGAAGCACAUUAUACAGACCGCCGUGGUAACACGGAGGAAGGUAUGGGCUACGUUAGGUGAGUACUGCCCGAAUGUCCUGGGCUACACGCGCGCGUCAAUGCUGCAUUCAAAAGGAUGCAACUCUGAAAAGAGAAGCUAAUCCUCAAUAUCCAGCUUAGUUUAGAUUGAAGCUUGCAACCCAGCUUCAUGACACUGGAAUCCGUAGUAAUCGCUUAUUAGCAGUGAGCGGUGAAUAAGUCCCUGCCCCUUGCACACACUGCCCGUCAAACCAACCGAGUUUUGCACUGUUGGGGCUCAAUUGAUUCGAAACUAUGUAAGACAAGGUAGGUUAAGUCGUCACAAGGUA